AUACGGAGGAUGCGAGCGUUAUCCGGAUUUAUUGGGUUUAAAGGGUGCGUAGGCGGUUUUUUAAGUCAGCGGUGAAACGCAAGGGCUCAACCCUUGAACUGCCGUUGAAACUGGAGGACUUGAAUGCGGAUGCUGUGGGAGGAAUGUGUGGUGUAGCGGUGAAAUGCAUAGAUAUCACACAGAACACCGAUUGCGAAGGCAUCUCACAAAUCCGUGAUUGACGCUGAGGCACGAAAGUGUGGGGAUCAAACAGGAUUAGAUACCCUGGUAGUCCACACUGUAAACGAUGAUGACUCGCUGUCGGCGAUAUACAGUCGGUGGCCAAGCGAAAGCGAUAAGUCAUCCACCUGGGGAGUACGACCGCAAGGUUGAAACUCAAAUGAAUUGACGGGG
rnacentral:rRNA from 1 species